CGGGCAUUCAGAAGGCUUGCACACUGGGCUACCAGCUGAGGACGCUGUUUCUCCAUAUCGCGCCCAGGGGAAAGUCCCCGGACCCGUGGCAGAAAGUGCUCUGGAUGAUUCCAGUGUCGACAUGUGCUCUACCCCGUAAAGCCGAGACGUUCUCUGAAACUGAGCUUGGUGAUUGCAUGUCGACGUUGUCCAGAUUCAUAGUCAUGCAAGUAGGCAAAUACUGUCGGCUGAACAGAACGGGGCUCAUUCUCGGAAUGUCC